UACGGAGGGUGCGAGCGUUGUCCGGAAUCAUUGGGCGUAAAGGGCGCGUAGGUGGCGGGACAAGCGUGCGGUGAAAGCCUGGGGCUCAACCCCGGGUCGGCCGUGCGAACUGUUUUGCUUGAGCACUGUAGAGGCAGGCGGAAUUCCGGGUGUAGCGGUGGAAUGCGUAGAGAUCCGGAAGAACACCGGUGGCGAAGGCGGCCUGCUGGGCAGUAGCU
rnacentral:rRNA from 1 species